GACAGAGGUGCCAAGCGUUAGGCGGAAUCACUGGGCUUAAAGCGUGUGUAGGCGGACUUGUAAGUACCUUGUGAAAUCCCACGGCUCAACCGUGGAACUGCUUGGUAUACUGCUUUUCUUGAGCCACUUAGGGGCUACCGGAACAAAUGGUGGAGCGGUGAAAUGCGUAGAUAUCAUUUGGAACGCCAAUGGUGAAAACAGGUAGCUGGGAGUGUGCUGACGCUGAGACACGAAAGCCAGGGGAGCGAACGGG
rnacentral:rRNA from 1 species